GACGAACGCUGGCGGCGUGUUUAACACAUGCAAGUCGAACGGAAAGGCCCUGCUUUUGUGGGGUGCUCGAGUGGCGAACGGGUGAGUAACACGUGAGUAACCUGCCUUUGACUCUGGGAUAACUUCAGGAAACUGGGGCUAAUACCGGAUAGGAGCACCUGCUGCAUGGUGGGGGUUGGAAAGUUUCGGCGGUUGGGGAUGGACUCGUGGCUUAUCAGCUUGUUGGUGGGGGGGUGGCUUACCAAGGCUUUGACGGGUAGCCGGCCUGAGAGGGUGACCGGCCACAUUGGGACUGAGAUACGGCCCAGACUCCUACGGGAGGCAGCAGUGGGGAAUAUUGCACAAUGGGCGGAAGCCUGAUGCAGCAACGCCGCGUGCGGGAUACCGGGCUUCGGGUUGUAAACCGCUUUCGCCUGUGACGAAGCGUGAGUGACGGUAAUGGGUAAAGAAGCACCGGCUAACUACGUG
rnacentral:rRNA from 1 species